UACGGAGGGUGCAAGCGUUAUCCGGAUUCACUGGGUUUAAAGGGAGCGUAGGUGGGUUGGUAAGUCAGUGGUGAAAUCCCCGAGCUUAACUUGGGAACUGCCAUUGAUACUAUCAGUCUUGAAUAUUGUGGAGGUCAGCGGAGUAUGUCAUGUAGCGGUGAAAUGCUUAGAUAUGACAUAGAACACCAAUUGCGAAGGCAGCUGGCUACACAUAUAUUGACACUGAGGCUCGAAAGCGUGGGGAUCAAACAGG
rnacentral:rRNA from 1 species